rnacentral:rRNA from 1 species
AAACAUGUCUUUUAGAAAUUAAUUUAAAGUCUAGCCUGCCCACUGAAAAUUUUUAAAUGGCCGCAGUAUCCUAACUGUGCAAAGGUAGCAUAAUCAUUAGUCUUUUAAUUGAAGGCUGGAAUGAAUGGUUGGAUGAAAUAUUAACUGUUUCAUAAAAAUUUAUAAUAGAAUUUUAUUUUUUAGUCAAAAAGCUAAAAUGUUAUUAAAAGACGAGAAGACCCUAUAAAUCUUUAUAUUUAAGAAGUUUAAAUUAUAAAGAAAAAUUAAAUUUAAAUUUUAAAAAAUAUUUUAUUGGGGUGAUAUUAAAAUUUAAUAAACUUUUAAUUUAUUAUUAACAUUAAUUUAUGAAUUUUUGAUCCAUUAAUUAUGAUUAAAAAAUUAAGUUACUUUAGGGAUAACAGCGUAAUUUUUUUAGAGAGUUCCUAUUGAUAAAAAAGAUUGCGACCUCGAUGUUGGAUUAAGAUAUAGUUUUAGGUGCAGCAGCUUAAACUUAAAGUCUGUUCGACUUUUAAAUUCUUAC